rnacentral:rRNA from 1 species
CCUACGGGAUGCAGCAGUAGGGAAUAUUGCUCAAUGGGGGAAACCCUGAAGCAGCAACGCCGCGUGGAGGAUGAAGGUUUUCGGAUUGUAAACCUCUGUCAGCAGGGAAGAACGGUCACUGUGCUAAUCAGCAGUGAAUUGACGGUACCUGCAAAGGAAGCACCGGCUAACUCCGUGCCAGCAGCCGCGGUAAUACGGAGGGUGCGAGCGUUAAUCGGAAUUACUGGGCGUAAAGCGCUCGUAGGCGGUAUGUCAAGUCAAGGGUGAAAUCCCCGCGCUCAACGUGGGAACUGCCUUUGAAACUGGCAAACUGGAGUGUGUGAGAGGAUAGUGGAAUUCCAGGUGUAGGAGUGAAAUCCGUAGAUAUCUGGAGGAACAUCAGUGGCGAAGGCGACUAUCUGGCACAUAACUGACGCUGAGGAGCGAAAGCGUGGGUAGCAAACAGGAUUAGAUACCCCGGUAGUC